rnacentral:rRNA from 1 species
CACGAACGCUGGCGGCAGGCUUAACACAUGCAAGUCGAGCGCCCCGCGAGGGGAGCGGCAGACGGGUGAGUAACGCGUGGGAAUCUACCCAUCUCUACGGAAUAACGCAUGGAAACGUGUGCUAAUACCGUAUACGUCCUUCGGGAGAAAGAUUUAUCGGAGAUGGAUGAGCCCGCGUUGGAUUAGCUAGUUGGUGGGGUAAAGGCCUACCAAGGCGACGAUCCAUAGCUGGUCUGAGAGGAUGAUCAGCCACACUGGGACUGAGACACGGCCCAGACUCCUACGGGAGGCAGCAGUGGGGAAUAUUGGACAAUGGGCGCAAGCCUGAUCCAGCCAUGCCGCGUGGGUGAUGAAGGCCCUAGGGUUGUAAAGCUCUUUCACCGGUGAAGAUAAUGACGGUAACCGGAGAAGAAGCCCCGGCUAACUUCGUGCCAGCCGCCGCUGUAAUAC